CCGAGAUUGCGCCACUGAACUUCAGCCUGGGUGACACAGCGAGACUCUGUCACAUACACACACACACACACACACACACACACACACACACACACACGCAUUUAUUCAACCCCUGCUAUGUGCCAGGCCCUGUGCUGGGCUCUAGAGGUAAAGGCAUGAGUCAGUGCCAGCACAAGAUGCUUGCAGGUUAGUGGAAAGCACACCUUUCCACCCAGGGAAGGGAAAAAAUGAGAACUUGGCAAGCUCACAACAGGAGGAGGGUGUAGAGCGUCUUGCUCCCUGGCUUAUAAGAUUCAGGAAAGGUUUCCUGGAGGAGGGGAUACCAGAAUUGAGUCAGGGGAGAAGACAGAGGAGGGAGGAAGAGGACUUCCAGGCAGAGGGGAAUGUGGGGCCCAGUGUGUCUCGGGGAACUGGGAACAGGCUGACGCUGCCAGAGUGUAGUAUGCCGGGCAAGGGAGUCCUGGCAGCCAAGGCUGGAGCCAUCAUCAGGAGCAGGUUAAGAAGGCUCUUGUUGCGAAGGGGAGCAUCUAAUAAGAUUGGACUUUGUCCUGUGGCAGGGGAGAGCCAUUUAAGGGUUUGGAGCUAUGGGUGGGAGUCGGGGGUAAAGGGGCCACGAUCAGGUUGUAUUUGAGUGAUUCCCUCUGGAGGCUGUGCAGAGGUCUGAAUAUGAAAGUGAGGGGUACAAAGCAGGAAGCGAGAUCGUGGAAAGGCAGGAGAUGAUGGGGCCUGAACUAGGGCUGUGGAGGAAAGGGAGAGGAAAGGACCGUUCACUAGGCGUUGGGGAGGCAGAAGAUGAAAGAGUCAAGGAUGACCCUCCUGUUUCUGGCUAGGGUAUCCGGUGAAUGGUAGGCCAGCAAUGGAGCCAGGCAGUACAGGAGAAGAAAUGUGUUUGCGGGGAAGUUUGAAGAGUCCAUAUUUGGAUAUGUUGAGUUUGAGUGCCUACAGCUGGGGUGUCCAAUCUUUUGGCUUUUCUGGGCCGCACAUAAAACUCUAUCACUAAUGAUAGCUGAUGAGCUGAAAAAAAAUUGCCAAAAAAUCUCAUGUUUUAAGAAAGAUAAGGAAUUUGUGUUGGGCCACAUUCAAAGCUGUCCCGGGCUGCAUGUGGGCCCGCGGGCCAUGGGUUGGACAACUUGGCCUACAGGAUAUUCAGGAGGAUAACUUCAGGAGGAGAUGUUUAGCAGGAAACACAAGGAGAAGUGGGACUGGAGAUAGGAAUCUCUGUGUUAGGGGAACUGUAAAAAGGUUGCUGAUGCAAGUAGGAGAGGAUGCACUAGCUCCAGGAAGAGUGCGCAGAAUGGGAAAAUGGUGAGGGUCAUAUCCUGGUGAGCCCUGAUGGGAACGGGUGGGCCAGAGAAAAAGAAACUCAGGAGAAAGAACUCAGAGAGCAACACUGAGGAUUUAGUGAGAGGAGUAUCACAUGACAGCCAAAGGGCGAGUCAUGGGAGCCGCAGCAGCCUUCCUCUGGCCUGUCCCUGCCAGGCCUCCACACCUCGAUAUGCAGAGAGUCUCACACCACAGAGCAGUCCAGCAGCACAAAGACUGGAACGUGUUUAUUAGACCUGACAUUUAGGAAGCCACUGGCAAACCUGUGGUUGGGAGAGGCAGGCCUCGGCCGACAUGGUAGCUCCAGUCUCAACCGUACCUAUGGCACUGUGGAAGGAGCAUGGGAGUGGAAUUCAUAUGCAGCAAUCAGUCUUGUUCAGCACAGAGGAGGCUUGAUUUUAAAGCUAAACAAAUUUGCAUUUUGGAAUGCAACCAAAGCUAGGCACGGUGC
rnacentral:lncRNA from 10 species